AUACGAAAGGUGCAAGCGUUGUUCGGAUUUACUGGGCGUAAAGAGAGUGUAGGUUGUUUAUUAAGUCGGAUGUGAAAUCCCGGGGCUCAACCUCGGAACUGCAUUCGAUACUGGUAGACUAGAGUUCGGGAGGGGUAAGCGGAAUUCCGUGUGUAGCAGUGAAAUGCGUAGAUAUACGGAGGAACACCUGAGGCGAAGGCGGCUUACUGGACCGAUACUGACACUGAGACUCGAAAGCGUGGGUAGCAAACAGAAUUAGAAACCCCAGUAGUCC
rnacentral:rRNA from 1 species